rnacentral:rRNA from 1 species
GCUAGCAAUGCGCGCCUGUGGUUCAGCCGGCUAAUCUUGUGAGUUGGCGUGCGGCGGAUCCGAAUGGACCGCCCGCGUCAGCAUCGCAGGGCGAGCUGUGGUGCACUCCAUGGGCGUGCGCGUCAGCGUCGGUUCCAGACGAGCGAUGAGGUGCGUGGGGGAAGGUAGCUCGGUUCUUCGGAUCCGAGUGUUAAGACCCUGGUGCUGGGCUCGUCGUGGGACCGAGGAGAGAGAUGAUCGCUGCGGCACCUGCCUCUCGGGGCUAGCCAGCUGCCGUUAGAUUUGCGUCAGGCGUUGAGGACUGCACGCAGUGCUUGAUGUUGAGGCGUGGUCUAGUGGUGGUGUGGGUAUAGAGGUGCCUAGGACGCUGGCGUCCAAAUGGCCGUGCGCGACCCGUCUUGAAACACGGACCAAGGAGUCUAACAUGUGCGCGAGUCUUAGGGUGUACAAGCCCUCGGGCGGAAUGAAAGUGAAGGUUCGGCGCUGGUCGAGCUGAGGUGAGAGCUGUAUGUGGAAUGAUUGCCACUGCGGCGCAUCAUCGGCCGGUCCAUCCUGCUCUCAGGAGGAUCCGAGCAAGAGCGUAUUUGUUGGGACCCGAAAGAUGGUGAACUAUGCCUGAAUAGGGUGAAGCCAGAGGAAACUCUGGUGGAGGCUCGUAGGGAUUCUAACGUGCAAAUUGAUCUCAAAAUUUGGGUAUAGGGGCGAAAGACUAAUCGAACCAUCUAGUAGCUGGUUCCCUCCGAAGUUUCCCUUAGGAUAGCUGGAGCUCGUUAACACAGUUUUAUCAGGUAAAGCGAAUGAUUAGAGGUCUUGGGGGUGAAACACCCUCAACCUAUUCUCAAACUUUAAAUCGGUAAGAAGCGCGACUUGCUUAACUGAAGCCGCGCAACCAAUGUGAGUUCCAAGUGGGCCAUUUUUGGUAAGCAGAACUGGCGAUGCGGGAUGAACCGAACGCUCGGUUAAGGUGCCAAAGUCGACGCUCAUCAGACCCCAGAAAAGGUGUUGGUUGAUAUAGACAGCAGGACGGUGGCCAUGGAAGUCGGAAUCCGCUAAGGAGUGUGUAACAACUCACCUGCCGAAUCAACUAGCCCUGAAAAUGGAUGGCGCUCAAGCGUCGCACCUAUACCGGGCCGUCGUCGUAAAUGCCAGGCGACGACGAGUAGGAGGGCGCGGUGGUCGUGAUGCAGCCCUUGGCGUGAGCCUGGGUCAAACGGCCUCUGGUGCAGAUCUUGGUGGUAGUAGCAAAUAUUCAAAUGAGAGCUUUGAAGACCGAAGUGGAGAAAGGUUCCAUGUGAACAGCAGUUGGACAUGGGUUAGUCGAUCCUAAGAGAUAGGGAAGUUCCGUAUCAAUGUGCGCAAUCGGUCUCGUGCCGCCUUGCGCCACCUAUCGAAAGGGAAUCGGGUUAAUAUUCCCGAACCGGAAUGCGGAUAUUCUCUGGCUUUCGGGUCAGGAGCGGCAACGCUAGCGAACCGCGAGACGUCGGCGGGGGCUCCGGGAAGAGUUGUCUUUUCUUUUUAACGCAGUCGCCAUCCCUGGAAUCGGUUUGCCCGGAGAUAGGGUUGGCUGGCUCGGUAAAGCAGCACACUUCAUGUGCUGUCCGGUGCGCUCUCGACGGCCCUUGAAAAUCGCGGGGGUGUACUGAUUUUCGCAUCCGGUCGUACUCAUAACCGCAUCAGGUCUCCAAGGU